CAUGACGAACGCUGGCGGCGUGCUUAACACAUGCAAGUCGAACGGAAAGGCCCUGCUUUUGUGGGGUGCUCGAGUGGCGAACGGGUGAGUAACACGUGAGUAACCUGCCCUUGACUUUGGGAUAACUUCAGGAAACUGGGGCUAAUACCGGAUAGGAGCUCCUGCUGCAUGGUGGGGGUUGGAAAGUUUCGGCGGUUGGGGAUGGACUCGCGGCUUAUCAGCUUGUUGGUGGGGUAGUGGCUUACCAAGGCUUUGACGGGUAGCCGGCCUGAGAGGGUGACCGGCCACAUUGGGACUGAGAUACGGCCCAGACUCCUACGGGAGGCAGCAGUGGGGAAUAUUGCACAAUGGGCGGAAGCCUGAUGCAGCAACGCCGCGUGCGGGAUGACGGCCUUCGGGUUGUAAACCGCUUUCGCCUGUGACGAAGCGUGAGUGACGGUAAUGGGUAAAGAAGCACCGGCUAACUACGUGCCAGCAGCCGCGGUGAUACGUAGGGUGCGAGCGUUGUCCGGAUUUAUUGGGCGUAAAGGGCUCGUAGGUGGUUGAUCGCGUCGGAAGUGUAAUCUUGGGGCUUAACCCUGAGCGUGCUUUCGAUACGGGUUGACUUGAGGAAGGUAGGGGAGAAUGGAAUUCCUGGUGGAGCGGUGGAAUGCGCAGAUAUCAGGAGGAACACCAGUGGCGAAGGCGGUUCUCUGGGCCUUUCCUGACGCUGAGGAGCGAAAGCGUGGGGAGCGAACAGGCUUAGAUACCCUGGUAGUCCACGCUGUAAACGGUGGGUACUAGGUGUGGGGUCCAUUCCACGGGUUCCGUGCCGUAGCUAACGCUUUAAGUACCCCGCCUGGGGAGUACGGCCGCAAGGCUAAAACUCAAAGGAAUUGACGGGGCCCCGCACAAGCGGCGGAGCAUGCGGAUUAAUUCGAUGCAACGCGUAGAACCUUACCUGGGUUUGACAUGGAUCGGGAGUGCUCAGAGAUGGGUGUGCCUCUUUUGGGGUCGGUUCACAGGUGGUGCAUGGCUGUCGUCAGCUCGUGUCGUGAGAUGUUGGGUUAAGUCCCGCAACGAGCGCAACCCUUGUUCACUGUUGCCAGCACGUUAUGGUGGGGACUCAGUGGAGACCGCCGGGGUCAACUCGGAGGAAGGUGGGGAUGACGUCAAGUCAUCAUGCCCCUUAUGUCCAGGGCUUCACGCAUGCUACAAUGGCUGGUACAGAGAGUGGCGAGCCUGUGAGGGUGAGCGAAUCUCGGAAAGCCGGUCUCAGUUCGGAUUGGGGUCUGCAACUCGACCUCAUGAAGUCGGAGUCGCUAGUAAUCGCAGAUCAGCAACGCUGCGGUGAAUACGUUCCCGGGGCUUGUACACACCGCCCGUCAAGUCAUGAAAGUUGGUAACACCCGAAGCCGGUGGCCUAACCGUUGUGGGGGAGCCGUCGAAGGUGGGACUGGUG
rnacentral:rRNA from 1 species